rnacentral:misc_RNA from 1 species
AAGUCGUAACAAGGUAACCGUAGGUGAACCUGCGGUUGGAUCAUUACCAAUCCCUUUGCUAGCAAUAGCAAUUAACCCCUGUGCAUCAAUUAUCGUUUCUGGCAGUCUAGCUUUGCAAAAGGCGAAGCUGCCAACAUAUAAACUCUAAUGUUUUGCCUUAAACUUAAUGUAAAAAUUAAAAACAACUUUUGACAACGGAUCUCUUGGCUCUC